AGUGAACGCUGGCGGUAGGCCUAACACAUGCAAGUCGAACGGCAGCACAGUAAGAGCUUGCUCUUACGGGUGGCGAGUGGCGGACGGGUGAGGAAUACAUCGGAAUCUACUUUUUCGUGGGGGAUAACGUAGGGAAACUUACGCUAAUACCGCAUACGACCUACGGGUGAAAGCAGGGGAUCUUCGGACCUUGCGCGAUUGAAUGAGCCGAUGUCGGAUUAGCUAGUUGGCGGGGUAAAGGCCCACCAAGGCGACGAUCCGUAGCUGGUCUGAGAGGAUGAUCACCCACACCGGAACUGAGACACGGUCCAGACUCCUACGGGAGGCAGCAGUGGGGACUAUUGGACAAUGGGCGCAAGCCUGAUCCAGCUAUACCGCGUGGGUGAAGAAGGCCUUCGGGUUGUAAAGCCCUUUUGUUGGGAAAGAAAAGCAGCAGGUUAAUACCCCGCUGUUCUGACGGUACCCAAAGAAUAAGCACCGGCUAACUUCGUG
rnacentral:rRNA from 1 species